rnacentral:rRNA from 1 species
UACGUAGGGGGCUAGCGUUGUCCGGAAUCAUUGGGCGUAAAGAGCGUGUAGGCGGCCAGGUAGGUCCGCUGUGAAAGUCCGAGGCUCAACCUCGGAAUGUCGGCGGAAACCCUCUGGCUAGAGUCCGGAAGAGGAGAGUGGAAUUCCCGGUGUAGCGGUGAAAUGCGCAGAUAUCGGGAAGAACACCCGUGGCGAAGGCGGCUCUCUGGAACGCAACUGACGCUGAGACGCGAAAGCGUGGGGAGCGAACAGG